UACGGGGGGGGCAAGCAUUGUUCGGAAUUACUGGGCGUAAAGGGCUCGUAGGUGGCCAACUAAGUCAGACGUGAAAUCCCUCGGCUUAACCGGGGAACUGCGUCUGAUACUGGAUGGCUUGAGUUCGGGAGAGGGAUGCAGAAUUCCAGGUGUAGCGGUGAAAUGCGUAGAUAUCUGGAGGAAUACCGGUGGCGAAGGCGGCAUCCUGGACCGGCAUUGACGCUGAGGAGCGAAAGCUAGGGGAGCAAACGGG
rnacentral:rRNA from 1 species